CAUGAUUCCAUAUGUGUUAUGUCAUAGUUUUGAUGUCUUCACUAUUGUUCUACAACGUAAACAUUUGUCAAAAUAAAGAGAGAACUUUUGACGGGUACUGUGUGUCUACGGGUGUAUGUACGUACUGUAUGUGUAUGUGUCUAUGUGUGAAUGAAUGAAUGAAUGAGUGGGUAGGUGGGUGGGUGAGUGAGUGGGUGAAUGAGUGGGUGGAUGGGUGAGUGAGUGCAUGCAUUAGCAUGUUUCUUAGUGCGUGUCUCAGCAGCCUACCUCCAUGUCCUUGGUCUUGCACUCCAGGCAGAGCUGCAGCUGGCUAAUGAUGGCAUCCUUCUCCUUGCAGGCCCAGUUCAGGUUGUCCUCCACGUCCUGCUUGGCCUGCUGCAGGUUUUUCAGCAUGUUCAUAAGAUCGUCAAGGACAGAAUCUGAAGAAGCCAAACGCUCACCUGACAAGAAGAGAAUGAUGCCCUCAUCUUGCAGAAACCACAUGCUUUUUGGAUUUCACUGUUCUUCACUUGCCUAAUCUAACUUCCUACUGAGUUUGCUACUAUGGUGUGCCUAGUGUAUGUCUGUGGUAAUAUUGUGUGAGAGACUCUGUCAGGAAGGUUGUGUUUUUUAAAUAUUAAGUGUGUAUAUAUUUAUAUUUUCUCUGACCCUCUCCAUCUUCUCCUACCUCCAGCAUCAACAAACUGCAGCAACUCAGUGCCUGCAGACUACAUCCAAUGGGAACACCAGGAAAUCGGCUUGGUGCACAUGCAGGAUUUUUCCUAUGACGAGAAGACGCACUCUCUGGUUGUUCCUCGGGAAGGCCAAUACUUUGUCUACGUGGGGAUCAACUUUAGAAUGCCGGAUAAGGACGAGGUAUCUAGAGAUGUCCAAUUUCUUAGCCUGACAGUCCUAAGAUACUCCAAGAACUACAAAGAUUAUCACCAUUAUCAUCAUAGGGAGACAAUACACCUGUAACAUGCAGGUAUUAGUUUGAAAUCCUUGUGGGUUUAGGGAGACAAUACACCUGUAACAUGCAGGUAUUAGUUUGAAAUCCUUGUGGGUUUAGGGAGACAAUACACCUGUAACAUGCAGGUAUUAGUUUGUAAGGUCUUUCCAUAUGACAAAGCUAAAUGUUAUAAUUAAUUUAUUAAUACAUUGAUUUCAUAGUGUGUCCCUUCUUUAUCAAGAUUCAUUGUAUUGUUGUUCAAUUUUAAAUACUGUAUUAUGGCUUUGUAGAGUGUGGAGUGUAUUCAAAUCAUAACUAGAGAUACAUGCACAUCUCAAACUUUUGCCUAACUCUUAAAUGCAUAUUUUGUGCAAGGGUCAAUGUAGGAUUUGACCUGUAGGCUACAGCUACACAGAGACAUAUGAAGAUGUAUGAAAAUGCACGGGUAUUCAUUUUCCUCUUUGGUCCAUUAAGUUUCAUUCCAGUCAACUAUUGUUGCAUACCUAAAAGAUUGAUAUACUGUGCGUUCUCUGUUGUCCAUCACCUGUUAACAGAUUACUUCCAUAGAAAACCCACUGGCUGUAAGCAGUCUUACCUUGGACUGCUUAUAGGGUAAGGAAACCAAUAUGUAUUUUUGUAAUUGGGGUGAUGUAUCCCUUUAAAUAUACUGUGUGUUACGAAAUCAAAGUUUUAUAUGGACUAACUAAACUAUCCCUGUGCAUGGAAGCCUAAGGGUGAAUCCUGACCUGUGUAACGAGUGCCUUGAGAGUCCGGAAGCAAGGUCAUGGAGUGAGUGUUUUUAAUAAAUGAAAUAAACAUGAAACACAAACAACGGACCAAAAACACCUGAGGCAAGAACCAAGGGGAGUGACAGAUAUAGAGAUGAUAAUCAAGGAGCUGAUGGAGUCCAGGUGAGUGUCAUGAGUGGCAGGUGCGCGAGACGAUGGUGACAGGUGUGCCGGAUAAUUAGUUUUGAUAAAAAUUUGGCUGAGUUGUGAAUGCAACGGGGAAUCAACAUUUCACUCGAUUUAGGUUAAAAGUUGGGUGACAUAAGCACAAAAUGCCUUACUUUUUGCAAAUCCAAUUAGUUUUCCACAUUGAUUCAACAUCAAUACAUAGAUUUUGGGGGGUUGAAAUUAAUUGGAAACAACGUUGAUUCAACCAGUUUUUGCCCAGUGUGUAAGUCGCUACAGACAACUUUCUCUUAGUUUCAUGAAUCAUUUUAGACAUAACACUGUUUGAUAUUUUGACAGUUUUCACAACGUAAGGACCAGACAAUAAAAUAGGUUUCGAAUAUUUGCGAUAAUGGAAUGGAUGUGAAGGCAUUCAGGAGGAGAAAGAGAAUGGACAAGAUUAAGUCACGGGCUAUAGAUUAAGGAUUCAGUCAGUGGACUCUGUAGCGUUUGGGCUUGGAGUCACGGGUUGACAUCAUCACCAUCAAUGAUAGCUAGUGAUACAUGGAAGAACCUUAGAGAUACUAGAUAGAGGGUGGAGCGAUGCAAAACUUGAUAAGGCUAGUAACGCACAGUGUCGUGCAAUGCGACAUUCAGAGGAGGAAUGUUAGUUUGGUCAGGUUUAAGUAGUGUGGCAGAGGUGAAUAAGGAGAGCGAGGUGCUCAAUGAGUUGCUAGAGGAGCUGCACUUCAAGGCAGCUAGUUGAAAGAGUUGCGUUCAAGUCUCCUGAACUUCAUUCUUAACUCCAUCAAAAUGUCAGGAGCAUCAUAAUGAUUAGUUUAAUAGGGAAUGCCAGACUCGAAACCUUCUUCACAACAGCACAUGCUGUGAGUGACAGUUGGCUUAAAAGUUGUGAUAUUACCGAUGUACUUCAGCCAACAUGCUAUGGUUUCACCUUCAUUACAUUAACCCCCUCUUUGACAUCCUCCUAUUCCUUUGAACCCAAGCAGCCGCCAGAGCCUUAGUGUGGAUCAACCAGGUGGCGGCACCAUUGUAACAGAAUGCAUUCUAUUCUGCGCAACAACAACAAAAAUUUGACAAAAGGGAAAUGGAAUUUCAAUAUACUGUAGAUCCGUUAAGAGGGCACAUCUUUUUGUUCAAGUGUGAGACAAUUUAUCAUAAUAGAUGCAAAUAAACAAUCUCCCCCCUCAGCCAAAGGGGUUUUUCCAUCAGUCUGUAUUGUAACGAUUCAAAAGCUAUGCGUGUAUGUGUAGUAUUGUGAAAAUGUACUAACAUGAGUGAGAUGACGUUGAGAUUACAUCCUCAUUGAGGAAAGGCUCUAGGCCUUUGGGGCAAAAUUAUUUACUGUGGUUGGAAACUUGAAAUUCCAAGCAGAAUGGCAACAUCAACAAACAACAACAUGUUUUUCUUUUUUCAGGUAUUCCAAGUGUUCCCCCAAAAAGCAAGGGAAUAUACAGUGGGGCAAAAAAGUAUUUAGUCAGCCACCAAUUGUGCAAGUUCUCCCACUUAAAAAGAUGAGAGAGGCCUGUAAUUUUCA